GGGAAUAUCCUGAUGCUGAUCCCUUUUCCAAGGAUCCUGGAGUGGGAUCUGUGUCUCCAUCAGAAUUUGAUCCUGGGAAUUUCCUUCCCCAUCCAUGGGAGCUGCAGAUCCCUAAUUCCCAAAUUAGGGAAGGCUCAUAAAUCCAGGGAAACCAGGAGCUCCUUGGGAUUGGGAAUCCCUGUCCAAGGAAAUCAGGAACUUUUUGGGAUUGGAAAUCCCUCUCCAAUGAGAGCAGGAUCUUCCCAAGGUCAGAAAUCCGUAUCCAAGGAAAUCCAGAAUUCCUUGGGAUUGGGAGUCCCUAUCCAAGGAAAUCAAGAACUUUUUGGGAUUGGAAAUUCCUGUCAAAGGAGAGCAGGAACUUCCAAAGGUCAGAAAUCCCUAUCCGAGGAAAUCAGGAACUUUUUGGGAUUGGAAAUCCCUCUCCAGGAAAAGUGGAAGCUUCCCAAGGUCAGAAAUCCAUAUCCAAGGAAAUCAGGAAAUUUUUGGGAUUAAAAAUUCCUGUCCAAGAAGAGCAGGAACUUCCCAAGGUCAGAAACCCUAUCCAGGGAAACCAGGAAUUCCCUGGAAUUGGAAAUCCCUAUCUAGGGAAUGCAGGAGGUUCCAAAGGUCAGAAACCCUAUCCAAGGAAAUCAGGAACUUUUUGGGAUUGGAAAUCCCUGUCCAGGGAAAUCAGGAACAUUUUGGGACUGGGAAUCCCUAUCAAGAGAUAUCAGGAACUUUUUGGGAUUGGAAAUCCCUCUCCAGGAAAAGUGGAAGCUUCCCAAGGUCAGAAAUCCAUAUCCAAGGAAAUCAGGAAAUUUUUUGGAUUGGAAAUUCCUGUCCAAGGAAAUCAGGAAAUUUUUGGGAUUGAAAAUUCCUGUCCAAGAAGAGCAGGAACUUCCCAAGGUCAGAAACCCUAUCCAGGGAAAUCAGGAACUUUUUGGGAUUGGAAAUCCCUGUCCAAGGGGAGCAGGAACUUCCCAAGGUCAGAAACCCUAUCCAGGGAAUUCAGGAACUUUUUGGGAUUGGGAAUCCCUGUCCAGGGAAAUCAGGAACAUUUUGGGACUGGGAAUCCCUAUCAGAGAUAUCAGGAAGUUUUUUGGAAUUGGAAAUCCUUCUUCAGGAAAAGUGAAAGCUUCCCAAGGUCAGAAAUCCCUAUCCAGGGAAUUCAGGAACUUUUUGGGAUUGGGAAUCCCUAUCUAGGGAAAGUGGGAGCUUCCCAAGGUCAGAAAUCUGGAUUGAAGGAAAUCCGGAGUUCCUUGGGAUUGGGAAUCCGUGUCCAGGGAAAUCAGGGAUGUUUUGGGAUUGGGAAUGUCUAUCCAGAGAUAUCAGGACCGUUUUGGGAUUGGAAAUCCCUACAGAGGAAAAACGGGACCUGCUUGGGGUUGGGAAUCCCAAACCAGAGGAGCUUUCCAGGCUCCCUUUUCCAGGGAAAUGGGAUCUGCCAGGCUGGGAAUCCCGGGAAAGCAGCACCAUCAGCCCCAUUCCUGCUGCUCAUCCAUGAAAAUUCCCAUUCCAAGCAGCGGGAACGGGGCUGAGCUCAUGGAAUUCCCACCCUGCAAACCCCAUUUGGGGCCGUUUUUUGGCCGGGCAGGACGGGAUCCAUCCCCUGGAGCAAUCCCACAUUCUCCCCUCCUCUUUUUCCCAGUUUUCCUUGGAUUUCUCCCCCAGUUCCCUCCUUUCCCCGCCCCACCAAGGCUGUAAAUUUCGGACGAGGCGUUAUCCCAAAUAAACUUUUUUUGGAAGG
ensembl:lncRNA